rnacentral:rRNA from 1 species
CUACGCACUCCUACGGGAGGCAGCAGUGGGGAAUAUUGCACAAUGGGCGCAAGCCUGAUGCAGCCAUGCCGCGUGUAUGAAGAAGGCCUUCGGGUUGUAAAGUACUUUCAGCAGUGAGGAAGGUGGGUAUGUUAAUAGCAUAUUCAUUUGACGUUAGCUGCAGAAGAAGCACCGGCUAACUCCGUGCCAGCAGCCGCGGUAAUACGGAGGGUGCGAGCGUUAAUCGGAAUUACUGGGCGUAAAGCGCAUGCAGGUGGUUUGUUAAGUCAGAUGUAGAAAGGCCCGGGGCUCAACCUCGGAAUUGCAUUUGAAACUGGCAAACUAGAGUACUGUAGAGGGGGUAGAAUUUCAGGUGUAGCGGUGAAAUGCGUAGAGAUCUGAAGGAAUACCGGUGGCGAAGGCGGCCCCCUGGACAGAUACUGACACUCAGAUGCGAAAGCGUGGGGAGCAAACAGGAUUAGAUACCCUGGUAG